AGGUCCGCAGGGCUCUGUCAGCAGCCGGGGAAUCCGAGCCGGGAUCCCCGCAGCAAAGAACAUCCCUCCUGUGUUGCCUCAGGAGGGAAGCAGCAUGGAUGGACUGGGCUGUGAGACCCCCACAGAAGGAAUGAUGUGGCAGCAGGCCUGACCAGCUGUGCUGAAGGACUGGAACUCACCAUUGGCCAUCAGAACAUCAGUGUAGAAGAUGUGAUGUUGAGCAGCCCUGCAGAUUUUGGUCAGUGCUUUUGCCAUGGUGAGAAGGUCCCCAAGGGUUUCUUCUCCUGGGAGGUCUUUGGUGGCCACGAGCUCGCUGAGAGUGGCCCUGCCGUGCUGGAGGAGCCACCCAGUGACCAACCCUUGGGCUUCAGGCUUCAAGGACAGGAUUGCUGGGAUCACUGCUCCUGCCUCCACCUUCAGUGCUGAGAUCAGAUCUUGCACUGCCUCCUGUGGAAAAACAACACCAAGGAAAGAAAUGGAAGCAAUAAUUAAGUAUUGAUCAUUUGUUCUUUCAGCUGCUUUCUGUUCUCUGCUGAACUAUGGAAAA